GGCGGAACUGGCAGACGCACAGGACUUAAAAUCCUGCGGUGCUAACACACCGUACCGGUUCGAUUCCGGUC
rnacentral:tRNA from 1 species